GUAUAAGAGACAGCAGCCGCCGCGGUAAUACAGAGGGUGCGAGCGUUAAUCGGAUUUACUGGGCGUAAAGCGUGCGUAGGCGGCUUCUUAAGUCGGAUGUGAAAUCCCUGAGCUUAACUUAGGAAUUGCAUUCGAUACUGGGAAGCUAGAGUAUGGGAGAGGAUGGUAGAAUUCCAGGUGUAGCGGUGAAAUGCGUAGAGAUCUGGAGGAAUACCGGUGGCGAAGGCGGCCCCCUGGACAAAGACUGACGCUCAGGUGCGAAAGCGUGGGGAGCAAACAGGAUUAGAUACCCCAGUAGUCCCUGUCUCUUAUAC
rnacentral:rRNA from 1 species